UGGAUGAGCCCGCGGCCUAUCAGCUUGUUGGUGGGGUAAUGGCCUACCAAGGCGACGACGGGUAGCCGGCCUGAGAGGGUGACCGGCCACACUGGGACUGAGACACGGCCCAGACUCCUACGGGAGGCAGCGGUGGGGAAUAUUGCACAAUGGGCGCAAGCCUGAUGCAGCGACGCCGCGUGAGGGAUGACGGCCUUCGGGUUGUAAACCUCUUUCAGCAGGGACGAAGCGAAAGUGACGGUACCUGCAGAAGAAGCACCGGCCAACUACGUGCCAGCAGCCGCGGCCG
rnacentral:rRNA from 1 species